rnacentral:rRNA from 1 species
GACGUAGGGGGCCAGCGUUGCUCGGAAUAACUGGGCGUAAAGGGUCUGUAGGCGGUGUGGCAAGUCGGGAGUGAAAUCUCUGGGCUUAACCCAGAGGCUGCUUCCGAAACUGCCGUGCUAGAGUGCGAGGGAGGUGAGUGGAAUUGCAGGUGUAGCGGUGAAAUGCGUAGAUAUCGGGAGGAACACCUGUGGCGAAAGCGGCUCACUGGACCACAACUGACGCUGAGGCGCGAAAGCUAGGGGAGCAAACAGG